GCCGGCGUCGGGACGUGGCCGUGCUGCAUGCUGGGAGGCGUAGUCUCUGCCGCACGGACCUUCGGGUGAGGUCGCGCCGUCGUCUUCCCUUCGUAUGGUUGCCAAAGCUGUGUUUUUCUGAAUUCUGAGACUGGACAAGGAACCUUCCACUGCAUGAAUACCAAGAAAGGGACAAACUGCACCCAUUCCAAAGGGGUUGAGUGGACCACCCAAGAUUCCCAGAGAAAACAGGGACUCCAGGAUUCUCAAUCCUCUUUCUGGGCACUGUCAGUUGAAAUGGAAACUUUGGAAAGAGAAAUUGAUGACAGGAGAGAAAUGGCUCGAAGGCGCCCUGUGGGGCUCUGUGGCUUAAUCAUAAUCAUGAAGAUCAGUUAUGUGAGCACUGUCUCUGAUGUACAAAGUCUUGGUCCUGGGGCAAGCGGAGGAGGUCUCCCUAAAAUAAUCACAACUCUGAAGCGAAACGCCACCAUCAGAAUUGGGGAUGGAGUAUUUAUUUUGUACUCUGCCAUGCGUGGAACCAAGAUGAGAUGCCAUUCCAGCUACUCUGACUCUGUGUUUAGGCACUUAUUUAAAACAUAACCACAGGCCAGUGUGCCUUUAUUGAAGCACAUGGAUAUCAUUACUGCACUUGCAUUUGGGUUGGAAGGAAAUACAGCAGUUAACCACCUGAAAUCUCAGUAGACAAAAGGAGAACACCAUAAAGUUUUACCACUGCGAGACAAAAGAUUGCAAAAUGUAAGUUCCAUUAAAGAAGUUAGGAAAUUAUGUUAUGUUACAUACUUGAAUAGUUCUGUCACAGAGUGAUUAGUAGAGCUUAGUUAUUACCUGUGACUAAAAGAUUCCAUUUCCACAAAGAAAUGGAGUUAAGAAUUGGAAAAACGUCAGUUGUUAUGUCUUUGAUCCCAAUCCCAUUGUAUUCAGACAAUGCAAACAGAAUUUCUCAAAAGCUUUCAGUAUGUAAAAACAAUGAACUAGUAUUACUAUUUUGAAUUUGUGUUGCUAGUUUGUUGCCUGCAGCGACAAUGACCACCGUUAAGGUUUCUGUCCAACAGUUUUCCUCUUGAUUAGGUGCUCCACAAGACUCAUUUUCAUGGAGAAAAUCCCAUUCAAGCCCUGAAAGAUUAAAACAUCUUAACCUUUAGUUCUAAAUUUAGUUUCUCUGGGAAGCCAGUUGAGAUCCAGAAGUCUUGAAUGUAACCGAAUGCUUUGGGAGACAGCUUGGGUUGGCUUAAAUUAAAGCUUGUCUCCUGAGGGCUGUAGACACCACAAAUAAAGCUUUCUCUACUGUGUUCUGCUACUGUAUUCAAUGCACUGAGUAGCUCUUAAUGUUCCUAGGGUUUCCUAAAUGGCCUAGAAAUAAAGCUAACAGAAGAGAGCAAUAUAUUUCACUUAACUAACUUUAACAGCAUACCCAAAGUUAUUUCUUUUCAAAAAGCUCAUGAAAGGCCUUGGUCAGAAUUUUGGUGGCAAUAGAAAUACUUGAACAAGAAUCUAUCAGCUGCCUUUGAAGUCUCCAGACUUUAAGUACAUUAAGAAUGAAACACCACUCUGGAUGCUAUAACCUUUAUAGGUCUUUAUUUCUUUUCAACAACAACAACAAACCCAAAAAACACAAAGUCUCCAGUCUCACAACAACUGGAGGAAAACUCAGUAGAAACUCAACAUUUUGUCAAUGAGAAAUACCUGAUGUCAUGUAUUUUGUUUAAUAAAGACUGAGUUGGCUGUACAGUAAGCCAAUUUAAGAAUGUGGUCUGUAACUCACAGUCUUAAUUACAUGGAGAAAAAAGUGAAUGGGUUCAUUAAUGCUGUGAAAAGGAACAAUGACCUACCUGCCAAGUGGCAAGGUGGAAAUAAUUAAUCUGGUCAAUUAAAAAGUAACAGAUAAUUUAAAAUGCAAAGACUUCCAGGUGGUGCACUGGAAUUGCAAAUUCUUACUGCCAAUGCUGGUCUUCUCAAUAAAUUUUCUUCAUCCUUUCCUUUUCUUUUUGUUUUUUCUUUUUGCCAUAGCUCAAAUCUAAUAGAAAAAAAAUCUUUCUGAGCUAUAGAUCACCACUUGUUUCUUUAUGUCUUAUGUUCUAAAAUAUUUAUUUAUUCUAACAUGUACUCCAGAAAUCCUCCGGGGGUUACCAGGUCCUUACUACCAGCUCCAGAAUUCCUUUUCUCUCUUUACUGGGGGUCUGUUAUAUCUUACUUUCCCUUCAAAAUUGUUUGCCUUUUUUUCUGGAGUUUUAAUAAUAUUUUUAAAGUGCUGGAGUCUGAGCCACACUAUCUGGGUUAUCUAAUCCCAUUUAUGAUUCUAUAACCUUGAAGCUUGCCACGGCCUAGUUGUCAGCGCCAGGUUCUAAAUACAUAGGGUAGUGUAUUUGCUCCACGGGACCGGAAAUUAGACAGUUACUUUUCUACAAAUGUUCAUAAUUCCUCUUGACAUUUACAAGCAAGUAAUAGUUCUUAGUCAUAGAGUGAUCUCAAAACAACCCAGGUUGCGCCACGGAUGCAGGAUGCUGGGGGCACUCUGCUCCAUCCGCGCCCCGCCUCUCCGUGCGCUGCUGAGAUGCGGAAAAAGGAACCUGUUGGUAGCUUAAUCCUCUCCAGCUGGUCCAGACUUACUCCCAGGACAAAUAUUACUAUCAUGUUCAUUUUCACCACGGCAAAGCUUUAUAAAAGCUGCAUCCGAGUUUUUUUUUUUAAAAAAAAAUGCACCAGGGAAGGCUGUUUCUAUGGUGAGUGGCUGUAAAUUUAUGGUUGCUAAGGAGGAAAAAAAAAAUCUCAUCUGAGAAAACCAAAUGCUGCCGUGGUGAAGUGCGACUUGAAAGUCUCUGUUGCCGAGGUGUUAGACUUGGCAAGUUAGAAAUAGCUGGGGAGGCGAAAGACGCUUUCACUUAUGUGCUCCAACAAAGUAGUACAUAUUGUCGCCUCCGCGGGAGGCGCGCGGCGGCCAUAUGUGCGUCGCCCAGCGAAAUGGAAUAAACAGCUGUUGCCAGGAAUCCAGUUCCUGGCAAAGAGGCAAACCCAAGUCCGCCUGUUUGCAAAAUAAAAAUCACCAGAGGGAUUCCCCUUCCUGCAGUUCCAGCGAGUAGUUUUAUAAAAGCAUAAGGCAUCGCUGUAUUGUGGUUUAUAAUAAUCCCUUACAUUUGUAAAGCAUUUUACAGUUUACAAAGCUCUUUACAUACAUUAUCUCAUUUGAACCUCAUAACAGCCCUGGAGAGGACAAAGCACAGAUACUGUGAUUCACUUUUCACAGUUGAAAAAAGGAAGGUUCAGAGAAUGAUGGUGAGCCUGUGCCUUGCCCAGCGCUGGCUACGCAGAGACCUCCUAGGGCUAUGGCAGGGGGUCCCAGUGAAGGGAUCAGUUUUUGGGUAGUCGAAGUCCAAGCUGCACUUUUUCCCUUUGUGCAAACAUCAGCUCCCUCUGCCGAAGGUCUUCGCCUGCACUUUUUGAAGCAGGAAGGGAGGCAAGUAGGUUGGAAGGGAGCAAGGGGCAAGGAGAAAAGGUCCUCUGCACUUCUACUGGGUGUGGAAUCUGGUUUGCCCUUGAUGGCAGUCAGAGCCGCC
ensembl:lncRNA